UCAAAGUAAGUGCGUUAUCAGUAUUCAGGUAGCUGUUGAGCCUGGGGCGGUAGCGUGCUUUUUUCUGCUUAAC
rnacentral:sRNA from 1 species